rnacentral:rRNA from 1 species
GAAGAGCACUGGCUAACUCUGUGCCAGCAGCCGCGGUAAUACAGAGAGUGCAAGCGUUAAUCGGAAUCACUGGGCGUAAAGCGCGCGUAGGUGGAUGUUUAAGUCGGAUGUGAAAGCCCUAGGCUUAACCUAGGAACUGCAUUCGAUACUGAAUAUCUCGAGUAUGGUAGAGGGAAGUGGAAUUUCCGGUGUAGCGGUGAAAUGCGUAGAUAUCGGAAAGAACACCAGUGGCGAAGGCGGCUUCCUGGACCAAUACUGACACUGAGGUGCGAAAGCGUGGGGAGCAAACAGGAUUAGAGACCCUGGUAGUCCACGCCGUCAACGAUGAGAACUAGCUGUUGGGAAGUUUACUUUCUAGUAGCGAAGCUAACGCGUUAAGUUCUCCGCCUGGGGAGUACGGCCGCAAGGUUAAAACUCAAAGAAAUUGACGGGGGCCCGCACAAGCGGUGGAGCAUGUGGUUUAAUUCGAUGCAA